CAAAAAAAAUUUUGAAGCUUAUACAUAAUCAUAACUUUAAAUGUACUCAAAAUUAUUUUACACAUCAAUCUACAAAUAGGCCAAGAAUUUAUGAUAGUUUAAAAUAAAAAAAUCUUGUAAAAAUAAAGAGAAUAUUUUAUUGGCCAAGAUUUGAUUAAUUACUAAGAUAUUUAACUAACAUCCCUAAGAAAAGAAAGAAAGAAAGAAAUUCUUUAAAUACAUUAUG
rnacentral:lncRNA from 1 species